AUUGAACGCUGGCGGCAGGCCUAACACAUGCAAGUCGAGCGGAUGAAGGGAGCUUGCUCCUGGAUUCAGCGGCGGACGGGUGAGUAAUGCCUAGGAAUCUGCCUGCUAGUGGGGGAUAACGUCCGGAAACGGGCGCUAAUACCGCAUACGUCCUGAGGGAGAAAGUGGGGGAUCUUCGGACCUCACGCUAUCAGAUGAGCCUAGGUCGGAUUAGCUAGUUGGUGGGGUAAAGGCCUACCAAGGCGACGAUCCGUAACUGGUCUGAGAGGAUGAUAAGUCACACUGGAACUGAGACACGGUCCAGACUCCUACGGGAGGCAGCGGUGGGGAAUAUUGGACAAUGGGCGAAAGCCUGAUCCAGCGAUGCCGCGUGUGUGAAGAAGGGCUUCGGAUUUUAAAGCACUGAAAGUUGGGAGGAAGGGCAGUAAGUUAAUACCUUGCUGUGUUGACGGUACCAACAGAAUAAGCACCGGCUAACUUCGUG
rnacentral:rRNA from 1 species